UCUCUCUCUUUCUCUCAUCCUUUCUUUCCCUCUCUCUCUCUCUCUCUCUCUCUAACUCACGUCAAAUUUCGUUUGGUCGACUCCGUAAUGCAUACCGCGUCGAAUGCAAUUUGGGAAACAAAACAGAUUAACGGAGCGCGCGAGGGCCGUUUCGUAUUAGUGAAACCGAAAGAUACGUAUGGGCAAAUACACGAACCCAGAGACAUACAAAUGUAUGCACGCGUAUAUACAUACUCGUAUACAUAUGCAAUCACUCGUGCCCACACACACACACACUAAUACACAUCUAUAUACACGUCUAUCCACGGUUUUGCGUUUAGUGAUUGCGGCGUCGACGUUGCGGUUGUACGUCAAUCGCAAUAGCGCGUCGGCCUCGAUGCGACGACAUAUCGAGCCCACCGCGAAGACAGAGGAAGGCCCGUUCGUCGAGUUACCCCCAUAUCCACCUCACAUGCAACCCCCUCCCGUCUGGCAUUCAUCCCUUCGGCAAGCCCUAGUUGCCCGCCGGGCGCGUCUGCGUUUGGUAAAGAGACUUUUGGGACAUCCCGUAUAUAAAUACAUUGAGAGAUUUCGUAUAUAGAAGAAAUAGGAGAGGAAAAAUAAAAAGCAAGAAAACAUGGAACGAUUACUCUUAAUCCUAUCGAACGAUCCAUCCUGUUCAUGUAUCUACUAGAAAGAGACAGAGAGAGAGAGAGAAAGAGGAGGAGAUCCUUUAAUCCGAGCAACGUCGUCGAUCUAUUUUUACGUCAGAGUUUCAUCGGAACGAAAAGAUUAGCAGCGUCGAUAUCGUUCGAAAUACGAAUGAACGAGUUUGUUCCUAUCGAUUCUGACGCCUAUCAGGACAAGGUUUGCCCUUUGCUGAGCCAGCUUCCGAAGGCGUUCUUUUUAUUCUCUUGCCGGACGAUCUCGGGGAUAAAUCUUUGGAA